UUUGUCAAAAAGACUUAAGACCUAAAAUUUAGCCUAUCAAUUGACUAUCUCAAUCUAAUCACCAGUGACCAGGACUUGAGUCAUACUUCAGGGACCUCUGCUGUACAACAAUAAUGAAUAUAAAUUGAACUUCAAGACUGUUUCAAUCAAUAUAAACUUCAACAGCUGCCAUGAACUGUGGUCCAGCCAUGCAACCCUCACUUGGAUCCAACUGAGCAUGGACUGAAACCUCCAAAAACUGGUCCUGCAGGCAAAUGACAUCAGAAUUACCUCAUAUAAUGUGAACAUCCCAAGAUAAGAACUCUGGGUGUCUAUUUCUUUGUUCUAAACUAAGGAUAGUACCACCAAUAUAUGAUUGUUUUCCAAGAU